rnacentral:rRNA from 1 species
AGAGUUUGAUCAUGGCUCAGGACGAACGCUGGCGACGUGCUUAACACAUGCAAGUCGAACGGAAAGGCCCUUCGGGGUACUCGAGUGGCGAACGGGUGAGUAACACGUGGGUGAUCUGCCCUGCACUUUGGGAUAAGCCUGGGAAACUGGGUCUAAUACCGAAUAGGACCACGCGCUUCAUGGUGUGUGGUGGAAAGCUUUUGCGGUGUGGGAUGGGCCCGCGGCCUAUCAGCUUGUUGAUGGGGUAAUGGCCUACCAAGGCGACGACGGGUAGCCGGCCUGAGAGGGUGACCGGCCACACUGGGACUGAGAUACGGCCCAGACUCCUACGGGAGGCAGCAGUGGGGAAUAUUGCACAAUGGGCGCAAGCCUGAUGCAGCGACGCCGCGUGAGGGAUGACGGCCUUCGGGUUGUAAACCUCUUUCAAUAGGGACGAAGCGCAAGUGACGGUACCUGGAGAAGAAGCACCGGCCAACUGCGUGCCAGCAGCCGCGGUAAUACGUAGGGUGCGAGCGUUGUCCGGAAUUACUGGGCGUAAAGAGCUCGUAGGUGGUUUGUCGCGUUGUUCGUGAAAACUCACAGCUUAACUGUGGGCGUGCGGGCGAUACGGGCAGACUAGAGUACUGCAGGGGAGACUGGAAUUCCUGGUGUAGCGGUGGAAUGCGCAGAUAUCAGGAGGAACACCGGUGGCGAAGGCGGGUCUCUGGGCAGUAACUGACGCUGAGGAGCGAAAGCGUGGGGAGCGAACAGGAUUAGAUACCCCGGUAGUCCAA